rnacentral:lncRNA from 1 species
UAUUACCAACGCAACCAACCGACUCAUUUAUUAACCUAGCUUACAAAAUGUGCAUCCCAAUCCAAAGGAUGAUUACAAAUGGAAUAUUAACAUUUCUUUCCUUCAUAUCUAGAACUGGAUGACCUCCAACUUAUCAACGCCUCCCAAGGUAAUGCAAAUUACCCAACAACAUGUGUUUUAAUUUGGUUAGAGAUUUCAAGCCUUAUGAUUUUACCCAUUAGACUAUACUCUACAAAUUAACCUAGCGUACACAAGCAAACCAAUGCAUACCCAUCCAAAUUACUAAUUAAUAUUAACAUUUGCUUUCAUUUCCGCAAAUUAACCUAGCGUACACAAGCAAACAAAAGCAUACCCAUCCAAAUUACUAAUUAAUAUUAACAUUUGCUUUCAUUUCUAGAACACGACAACCAGAACCGCACAACCGCCUCCCAAGAUACGGAUUCGUCCCGGCCAUUGUGUUCGACAAUGAUUGACGACAUGGACGAGAACGGGAACGGAGAACACGACAACCAGAACCGCACAACCGCCUCCCAAGAUACGGAUUCGUCCCGGCCAUUGUGUUCGACAAUGAUUGACGACAUGGACGAGAACGGGAACGGAGAUCCACUACCAGGCCCCUGAAAACACUCCAGGCCCCUGUAAAUCGAAGAUAUUGUAAAUAGUGUGAUUCUUUUUAUAUAGUGUGGUGUUGUAAAUAGUGUGUUUUUUUUUAAUUGUAUACUCCAAUAAAAACUCAAACAUCUGAUAUUGUUUCAUAUUUACACAAAUUGCCCAUGCAAAAACGAAUGUUUCACAAUUCGUGUUCUUUUCUGUACUUGUGUGCCUGCGCUGGAACCGUCAAAUAUCCCAUGACGCAUAGGCUAUAUAGGGAC